rnacentral:sRNA from 1 species
CGGAAAGCUGACUUAAAGCCUCCUGUUAGCCACAUAACAAAUAUAUCAGGGGCAACAAUAGCACAGAGUUCCACGUAAAGCCCAACCAGGUGCCACAGCCCUGACUUGGAGAAACCACCUCUGUGGGGAGAAGAUAGUUCAGUCUCCGUAGCUCAUUCAGUCCUUGGCCUCU